UACGUAGGGCGCAAGCGUUUAUCCGGAAUUAUUGGGCGUAAAGAGCUCGUAGGCGGUUUGUCGCGUCUGCCGUGAAAGUCCGGGGCUCAACUCCGGAUCUGCGGUGGGUACGGGCAGACUAGAGUGAUGUAGGGGAGACUGGAAUUCCUGGUGUAGCGGUGAAAUGCGCAGAUAUCGGGAGGAACACCGGUGGCGAAGGCGGUUCUCUGGGCCUGUACUGACGCUGAGGAGCGAAAGCGUGGGGAGCGAACAGG
rnacentral:rRNA from 1 species